GCCUAUUGCCAUACCACUCUGGGAGCGCCCGAUCUCAUCUGAUCUCGGAAGCUAAGCAAUGUUGGGCCCAGUGAGUACUUGGAUGGGAGACUGCCUGGGAAUACUGGGUGCUGUAGGCU